ensembl:lncRNA
CUCUGUGACUGGGGAAUUACCUCUGUGUGCCUCGGCCUUGACUUGGUUUUGAUAUCUUGCUCCAGGCAAUAUGGAAGUACCUGUGAAAUGCAACGGAUAUCACAGUAAACAACGACUUGGAGGCAAGUCCACAGCCAUAAAUCAGCAUUUUUCUGAGUGCCGGGGAGGACGACAAACCUCUGUGUAAGAGCUCUGCACCACGAAUGGAAAUUACUCAGUGCUGACGCCUGAAAGGACACCAGCAGCCCUUGCGCUUUGUGCUGAAUUUUACUUCGAUUUCUACUUCAUCUACCAGGCUAAACCAGCAUUCAAAAAGGAUAGAUUAUGAAGAUACGUUCAGAAAAUGAGAAUUCUGCAAUCAUUAUUAUUAUAUAUUAUUCAUAUAAUGGCAACACCCUAAGUUGUCUCAGCACUGUGCAGAAAGAGAGGAAGAUAAAGCCUCCGGCCCAAAGAAACUUCUAAAUGAAUGGAAAUAAGGAGAAAUGCAGCAGUGUCAGCAUGAGUGGAAGAGCUUCUCUUUCCCUGCAGAAACCUACUGCCAGGCUGGAGUUAAACAGCAGACACAGCAGUACCUGGGUGCUGGGAUUACGUUGAAGAGUGAAAUGAAGGCAAAGUGGGUCUGCAAGGGUGGAAAUGAGCUGGAAGCAGAUCGAAAACCUCAGUGCAACCACAUCGGUGGGAUGAGGUGGGAGACACCUGAACUCCAAGGCCCUUCCUGUGCUGCUGGAGGUCUCCCAGCAAGGGCUGGAUGUUCAUCUUGCUGGGGCAUCAUCCAACCGGAGAGCAAAGGCAGUGUCUGCGUGUUUGAAAGAGGGAAGCAGUGACUGGAACAACUACAGGCACAGCAGUGUGAGUGAAGUCCUAUGAGCAGCUGUAGAGCAGGAGGGAAAAAUCAGUGAUUUGGAAGAACAUGGAAAACCAAGGAUAAAUAGAACAUAGGUCAACUCAAGCUAGAAAGCCUUCCUACCAGCCUUGCCUAAAGCUGAGCACUGCUGAUACCACACGGUGCUUUCUGAUGGUGAAGGAGACCCCUCCAGGACCUACAAACCAGAUAAUCUGAUAGCAGCGGCCGUCCUCUGCUCCAAGCACUCUUCCCACCUCUUUGCUUUCAACAAGAGCCC